GAAUAUGAGGGCUAUCUGGCUGUGACAUCUGUCACCAAUCGCCAGAACUGAUCGGCUGAUCUGGCUGGCUAGGCAGGUGUCCCCUCCCCACCUCACUGCUGUGUGUGUGUCCCUUCUGAAGCUGCAUGCUGGGUUGAAGAGGACGACCUUCAGAGAUAGAGAAGGACUGUUCUUCAGUCAAGGGUACGUGAAGAGCUGCACUCCCCUGCUAGAACCUCCAAACAAGCUCUCAAAAAUAUUAACAAAUAGAAUUCAGUGAUAUAUAAAAAGAAUUAUACACCAUGACAAAGGUGGGGGUUAUUU
ensembl:misc_RNA 7SK 7SK RNA